UACGUAGGGUGCAAGCGUUGUCCGGAAUUAUUGGGCGUAAAGAGCUCGUAGGCGGUUUGUCGCGUCUGCUGUGAAAACCCGAGGCUCAACCUCGGGCCUGCAGUGGGUACGGGCAAACUAGAGUGCGGUAGGGGAGAAUGGAAUUCCUGGUGUAGCGGUGGAAUGCGCAGAUAUCAGGAGGAACACCGGUGGCGAAGGCGGGUCUCUGGGCCGAUAUUGACGCUGAGGAGCGAAAGCGUGGGGAGCGAACGGG
rnacentral:rRNA from 1 species